GUCUAAGGACAUACAACACUGAAUGACCCUCAUCUUGCCUAAUCUUAAAAGCUAAGCAAGGUCUGACCUGCUUAAUAAUCAGAUGGGAAACUGCCUAGGAAGCCUAGGUGCUGCAAAUU
rnacentral:rRNA from 1 species